ACACACACACGCACGCACGCACGCGCGCACACACACACACACACACACACACACACAUACACACACACACACACACACACGCACGCACGCGCGCACACACACACACAUACGCACACACGCACGUGCGCACACACACGCACGCGCACACACACACACACACACACACACACACACACACACACACACACACACACACACACACACACACACACACAAAACACACAGUGAGUGUAAUUGACUGCAGUUAACCAGAGUCUUGGUGCACAAACAGCCUGAGGUGGAGGCAGAGAGUCACAGAGCUCAGGGCGCUUAACGGUCUGUCUCUCUGUCUGUGUGUCUCCUUCUCCAUUCCAUCUACCAGUAUAACCGAGAGGUCGCUGAUUCAAAUCCCAGAGGUUGUGUAAAAAUCUGCUGUUCUGCCCUUGAGCAAGUCAGUCAACCCCGAACAACAACUGCUCCCCAGCGCCAAUUACGUGGAUGUCGAUUAAGGCAGCCCCCCAUACCUCUCUGAUUCAGAGGGGUUGGGUUAAAUGUGGAAGACACAUUUCGGUUGAAUGCAUUCAGUUGUGCAACUGACUAGGUAUCCCCUUUCCCUUAUCGCUCUCUCUCCUUUAUCCUUUGCCCUGUCUCCUCUAUCAAUCACUCUCUCUUCCUAUCCUUCUCUGUCCCUCAAUCUCUUCCUCUAUCCAUCAGUCUCUCUUCCUAUCCUUCUCUGUGCCUCAAUCUCUUCCUCUAUCCAUCACUCUCUCUUCCUAUCCUUCUCUGUCCCUCAAUCUCUUCCUCUAUCCAUCACUCUCUCUUCCUAUCCUUCUCUGUCCCUCAAUCUCUUCCUCUAUCCAUCACUCUCUCUUCCUAUCCUUCUCUGUGCCUCAAUCUCUUCCUCUAUCCAUCACUCUCUCUUCCUAUCCUUCUCUGUCCCUCAAUCUCUUCCUCUAUCCAUCACUCUCUCUUCCUAUCCUUCUCUGUCCCUCAAUCUCUUCCUCUAUCCAUCACUCUCUCUUCCUAUCCUUCUCUGUGCCUCAAUCUCUUCCUCUAUUCCUCUAUCCAUCACUCUCUCUUCCUAUCCUUCUCUGUCCCUCAAUCUAUUCCUCUAUCCAUCACUCUCUCUUCCUAUCCUUCUCUGUCCCUCAAUCUAUUCCUCUAUCCAUCACUCUCUCUUCCUAUCCUUCUCUGUGCCUCAAUCUCUUCCUCUAUUCCUCUAUCCAUCACUCUCUCUUCCUAUCCUUCUCUGUCCCUCACUCUCUUCCUCAUUCCUCUAUCCAUCACUCUCUCUUCCUAUCCUUCUCUGUCCCUCAAUCUCUUCCUCUAUUCCUCUAUCCAUCACUCUCUCUUCCUAUCCUUCUCUGUCCCUCAAUCUCUUCCUCUAUCCAUCACUCUCUCUUCCUAUCCUUCUCUGUCCCUCAAUCUAUUCCUCUAUCCAUCACUCUCUCUUCCUAUCCUUCUCUGUCCCUCAAUCUAUUCCUCUAUCCAUCACUCUCUCUUCCUAUCCUUCUCUGUCCCUCAAUCUAUUCCUCUAUUCCUCUAUCCAUCACUCUCUCUUCCUAUCCUUCUCUGUCCCUCAAUCUCUUCCUCUAUUCCUCUAUCCAUCACUCUCUCUUCUAUCAUUCUCUGUCCCUCACUCUGUUCCUGUAUUUAUCCAUCCAUUGCUCUUCAUUCUCCUUUUCCAACCUUGGGGGGCAGGUACUGAUGGGGGAGGGGACAUGCCAAUCAAC
rnacentral:lncRNA from 1 species